GAUUGGCUGUGCCCUGCACACCCCCCUACUGAGAAUUGAGUCUGCAACCCUGGCAUGUGCCCUUGACUGGAAUUGAAUCUGAGACCCUUCAAUCCACAGGCCUAUGUUCUUUCUAUCCACUGACAAACUGACUAGGGCCAGAAGCAGUUUUCAACACAGCUGCUCAUUUGAGUUUUGUUCUGCCCAGUAGACUAUGCAGACCAGUGAAGAAAUCUUGGUUUUCAGUAAUUUUCAGUAUGGGAUGUAAAAUUCCUGAAGCAUAUGGCUAGGACUAUCGCUUUAAUUUUUAUUGAAGUUUAUCUUGGUAUAAUUUCCUGUAAGUUGAGCACUGAGCUAAUGCCAAAAGGAUUUUUUUCUCUUGGCUGUAGUAUUCACAAUUCCUGAAAUGGCAACUUGAGAAAAAAGGUGUCGAUUUCAUGUGUGUUAACAUGUUUUAGGUUGAUAGUCAAAUGCUAGUUCAUUUGUCAUGAAGUGCUGCAGAAAUAAAUCCAGUCCAGAAAGUUGCAUUCUGGAAUGAGUUUUAGAUUCUGGUGAUUGAGAGAGCCAUUUCAGAUGAGAGAAGAGGGGAAAUAAUAAUUUUUUUUUUUCUGUUUACUUUCCUAAAGUUUUCUCUGAUCUGUGUUUGCUUUUCAUAACUGCUCCCUCCCCCCCCAAGCCCUUAGUUUCUCCCAAAUAGCAUCAAAGUCACUGACCAACCUUCAUUAUUUGCAGAUUUCUGGGAACUCAUGACUGGUUAAAACAAGAAAUGAAGCAUAACUAUUGUAAACUAGAGGUGCCGUGCAGUCUGGGAGCCCUUGGGGGAAUGUCAGGCCCCCCCACUCCUGCUCCCGUGGACAUCCCUAUGGGAGAGCACUGAUUGAUCUUGUUGAGAUAAUUUUGAAUCUCGAGCCUACUAUCUAGAAUGUUAAAAUGUGGGCUUUGUCAUUUACACAUCUGAUACUUAGAAUUCUGUUUCUGUAGUUUUAUUUAAAUUAUUGGUUACUACUAAACAAAAUAGGUCCAAAAACAGACAAGCAGGUAUUGCACUAGAGAAAUGUUCUUUGAUUAUGGUACAGCCAAUUGCAAAUUCCCCUAAUAAAAUUGCAUUACCAAAAUUAUCUAGGUCAUAUCUAUAUUAUUAUUACCAAGACUAUAAUCUAGGUCAUUUCCCACCAUUUUAUCAAGGUAAUCAUGAGGAAAUUUUUAUCAAAUGUUUGGUAAAAGCAAGGUGGAGCAUGAUGGAAUAGUUCUCACCCUCUGGUGACGCAGCUGCAACAUUUUCUGCGGUCUGGGUUGUAGGCAUUAAGUACAAGGACUGCAGCUAUGUCAUUGCAAAAAAAAAAAAAAAAAAAGAGUGGGGGGGCCUGACAGCCUCACCUUAGCUAUUGUCAUACUUUGUUGAUUGACCCUUUGGACCUCUGUUGCACCUCCUACAGGAUUCUGCAUAGAGCUGACAACUCAGUUAAAUGUCGUAUGAGAAAUAAGGUGGCUUUUAUUACAUUAUGGUUAGAUAUAGAAACUUUCUCAUAACCAAGUCUUAUAUGAAAGGGAAUACAUCUCUUGGAACUCAGUUUCUCAUAUAUAGAACUGUUCAUAAGUGUUUUUCUUCAAUGUCUACCUGACUGAAGUUUAUUAAACUGCCCCACCCUUGAGGUUGUUCUUUGUGAAACUGGAAAUAUAGAAAAUCCAGUAAGUUUCCUUUCAUUGUUUGAAAUGUGUGUACACACACAUACGGAGUCUGGUCUUGUAAUACAGUAUAGUCUAAAAAUGCUUUCUUUAAAA